rnacentral:rRNA from 1 species
UUUAGUGACUGAGUGGCGGACGGGUGAGUAACGCGUGGGUAACCUGCCUCACACAGGGGGAUAACAGUUGGAAACGGCUGCUAAUACCGCAUAAGCGCACAGUACCGCAUGGUACAGUGUGAAAAACUCCGGUGGUGUGAGAUGGACCCGCGUCUGAUUAGCUAGUUGGCAGGGCAACGGCCUACCAAGGCGACGAUCAGUAGCCGACCUGAGAGGGUGACCGGCCACAUUGGGACUGAGACACGGCCCAAACUCCUACGGGAGGCAGCAGUGGGGAAUAUUGCACAAUGGGGGAAACCCUGAUGCAGCGACGCCGCGUGAGCGAAGAAGUAUUUCGGUAUGUAAAGCUCUAUCAGCAGGGAAGAAGAAAUGACGGUACCUGACUAAGAAGCACCGGCUAAAUACGUGCCAGCAGCCGCGGUAAUACGUAUGGUGCAAGCGUUAUCCGGAUUUACUGGGUGUAAAGGGAGCGCAGCGGAAGGCUAAUCUGAUGUGGAAGCCCGGGGCUCAACCCCGGUACUGCAUUGGAAACUGGUCAUCUAGAGUGUCGGAGGGGUAAGUGGAAUUCCUAGUGUAGCGGUGAAAUGCGUAGAUAUUAGGAGGAACACCAGUGGCGAAGGCGGCUUACUGGACGAUAACUGACGCUGAGGCUCGAAAGCGUGGGGAGCAAACAGGAUUAGAUACCCUGGUAGUCCACGCCGUAAA